CCUACGGGAGACAGCAGUGGGGAAUAUUGCACAAUGGGGGAAACCCUGAUGCAGCGACGCCGCGUGAGUGAAGAAGUAUUUCGGUACGUAAAGCUCUAUCAGCAGGGAAGAAAAUGACGGUACCUGACUAAGAAGCCCCGGCUAACUACGUGCCAGCAGCCGUGGUAAUACGUAGGGGGCAAGCGUUAUCCGGAUUUACUGGGUGUAAAGGGAGCGUAGACGGCAGCGCAAGUCUGGAGUGAAAUCCCAUGGCUUAACCAUGGAACUGCUUUGGAAACUGUGCAGCUAGAGUGCAGGAGAGGUAAGCGGAAUGCCUGGUGUAGCGGUGAAAUGCGUAGAUAUUAGGAGGAACACCAGUGGCGAAGGCGGCUUACUGGACUGUAACUGACGUUGAGGCUCGAAAGCGUGGGGAGCAAACAGGAUUAGAUACCCGUGUAGUC
rnacentral:rRNA from 1 species